GGCGUGACGGUGGCGCAAUGGUAGAGCGUCCGACCCACGUACGGAGGCCUUAGUUGUCGAUGCAGCCUGCCGCUGGUUCGAGUCCAGGCCCCUCUCGCCA